AGAUUUUGCGUGGGAGACAAGUUUUUCCUCAAGAACAACAUGAUCCUGUGCCAGCUGGACUAUGAAGGAGGCCAUCUUAAUGGCAACGCAGAGAGGCAGACUCAAUAAGAGGACGACUCUGAGCCAGCUGGACGGAGACGGAGAGCAGCAGCAGCAGCAGCAGUGCGGUCCUCAUCAGCUUCUUAUUUCAGACUGAACCUGGUGGGAGAUGUUUCCAGCAGCACAGGAUUGAACUUUUAUGACAGAGCUGCGUGGUGACUCUCCUAAAGACUGAAUAUUUCUGAUCAGACGGACCAGAGAAGGAAAGAUAAAUCACGGAGCUAUGAGGAGGAUGUUUUCCAGAGAACUGAGCGAGGACUGAGAGGAUCCUGCGCCCGCUUCUUUUGUAACAUCUCACUAAUGUUUGCAGAUAAUUCAAAGAGUCUGUUCCUUAAAUUUGAAACACGAACUGGAUGGAGUGAAGCCAGCCGGGCCACACAUAGCAUCAACCAAGUCAUCCAUCAGAACUCUUGAGCUGUCCUUUUUCAGCUUCUCUCUGAUUGUCAAAUGGUCCUGGCAGUCUCUGAGCUGUCCUCUGUGGUGAACUCCACCCGUCCGGCGUCCAGGAAGAAUCCCCAACACAGACUGAAACAUGAUCGCAAACACUGCACAGCUCCCACUGAGAAGGACUCGAAUAAACAGAGAGCAAACCCACAAAACUUUAUUUUCAAUCUGAUCCCAAGCUGUUCUAUCUUGACUUAUUAAACUGAGUUAUAAUUUC